UCUCCCUCGCGCACCCCAGCCCUCUUCUCCCCGACGCCGCCUUGCUCUUUUCUUCUCUUUGCCCUAACCGCCGGCUGUAGCGGUUCCUCCUUUCAUCUUCUCCUCUUCUCGGUGAAGCCGAGCCUGCCCUCCCGAUGCCACCGCAUGCCCUAGCCUCUCCUCCCUCACGCGCGCCACUGCCGUUCCGACGCUGAGACGCCGCCGGCCACAUGAACUCCACUCGCCUGAGCCCUAGCCGGUGCCACCACAGUCCUCUUCCUCUACAGAUUUGGUGUCUCGGUGCCCUAGCGUUGGCCCGCCGCCGAGCCUUGGUCGCCUCACAGCCACUCUUCAUCGCCGCGCACGAUCCGUUGGCCGCCAUUGAGUCCUGCCGAAGCCGCUACCCUCACCGGACAGGAGCAGCGCUGCCGCCGGCCUUCCUCAGCCUUAGUUCUUCGGCCGACUCCUCCUCCUUUCCGAGCCACACCGUGCCCUAGAUUUGGGCCACAGCCGACACCCAUACAGCACUGUGAUUGCUUCCCGAGCAGUGUUCGAUCUCUCCGGUGAUCACUUUUGUUACUGUCCCUGCUGUUCCCUAACGCCGGCAGAGAGAAAACCAGAGGAAGAACUUGGCUUCGUGCAGUUCUUUGCAGUGUAGGCAACAUAACUGUGGCAACGGUUUCACCUCGCUUCGGAUAGGAUUAUUGGCAGCAACUUCGUCUACUGUGCUGCAACAGCGAAUCUUCUCCAGCUGUGAUUUGAGGACUUUGAUUCGGGACGGUAUCUCGACGAGUAUCUUGAUUAUCGGAUUAGACCACUUU